rfam:Gossypium raimondii Chr01_contig_1291, whole genome shotgun sequence.
AAUUAAAAUUUUCAUUCGUUUUUACUAUUAAAAUCUGAAGAGGCUGGUAGAAUUAUAACCAGACAGCUAUACAGGGUAUGGCACGUGUAUUUCAUAUUUACAUACAUUAACCAUUUGAACAGUAGAAAUGGAUGAAAUUUUGAAAC